rfam:Picea glauca, whole genome shotgun sequence.
ACAUGCCUACAACAUAGUGUUAACGCACUGGAUCCCAUUGGAACUACAUAGUUAAGCAUGCUUAGGCUAGAGUAGCACUGGGAUGGGUGACCACCCAAGAAUUCUUAGUAUUUUACAUGCA